ensembl:rRNA 5S_rRNA 5S ribosomal RNA
GUCUACAGCCAUACCACCCUGAUAUAUGCCUGAUCUCGUCUGAUCUCGGGAGCUAAGCAUGGUCAGGCCUGGUUAGUACUUGGAUGGAAGAUAGAUCUUCAGAAGAGACUGUCAGAGACAAGCAGUUUGGAGACA